rnacentral:lncRNA from 10 species
AGAAGUUUUCUCCUCCUGUCCUGUAACUGGUUUUCACUCACUCAACUGAGAGAUUUCUUUGUUGCAAUGAUGGGGUCUAAGAUAACACUUCUGGAGGCUGCAGGCGAGAAACACAGCUGAUAUCAUCUUUUAUUGUGUGUUGUUAUUUGCCUAGCAUUAUAAAUUAAGGAGGAAUAGUAACAAAGAGCUUGAAGACAUGCACAGCUCACAGGCCCCGGGUGGAGGCUGGCGACAUCAGACAGACAGAACCAAGACAUCUGAGGGGCAACCAGGAGGUGCGUGUGGCUGCAGAGCACACAGACUUGUCUUUGGACAAAAUUGAGAAGAACUCAUAAACUUGGCUUCCUCGCUUCUGCUCCUCAGACGCGCGUGGAUGAUUUGAAGAUAUUAGCCUAACAAGAUGGAAGCAGGUUUAAAAUUUUACAUAAGAAGUUACCUUUUUCAGAUACAGUUAAGCUAAUGAUCUCGAGAGGAUAUCGUCCUGGAUAAGGGUGGAGCCUACGCCCAAAAACAAGAUUACCUGAAAGAGAAAAGAAAGGGGGAAAACACACAGAGAUACAGUCGGGGAGGCCACAUGAAGAUGGAGGCAGAGACAGGAGUGAUGAGCCUGCAAGCCAAGGAAUGCCAAGGGCUGCCAGCAGCCAUGAGAAGCUGAGAGACACAGAGAACGAGUCCUCUGCCAGAGCCUCCAGAAGGAACUAACCCUGUCAAUACCUUGAUUUCGGACUUCUGGACUCCAGAACUAUAACCCUCCUUCCUCCACCUCACAAAAACUCACAAGCUGCAACCCUUCUGAUGUCCACUCCCACACAAACCAGCUUCAGGCCUUUUUCAAGUGGAUGCUGUGGGGCACCACCUCCUUGAGGACCAAGGCACUCCAGCUGCCAGGAAUUUGGCUGCUAACCUCACACAGCUGAGCCUUCCAUGAAAAUUGCUCUCUGCCAAAGAGAACUUCCUAGUCCAAGGUCAUGUCUACUCUCCAGAGAUGUGACUGGAGUGAUUUGCACCCGGAUGCCUAGACUCGCCAUCUGCUCAAAGACUGCUCAGAAAGCCCUCCCAUGCAUUCCCCUGCUGCAUACCAGCCCACUCUGCCUGCAGCUGCUGUCUGCAGGACUUCAUAUCUAUGCCACACUGUGUAAAAGCUGUGCUUCAAGAAAUCACAAAAACAUUUUCCUGCACCUACUACACAGCCUGAGUGCGGCAUAAGUUGACCUUGCUUGCUAAGAAAUGGGGCAAGAAAUGCUUUUUUGUGUGUGUCAUGUCUGUUUGUUUUUCAAUUAAGAGAGGAAAGCAUUAGGCAGAUGGAAUGUACAUGUGAGGAUGAGGAGACAGAAAACAAGUAGCCCUUUCCAUCAAGAUAGAGGGUUUUCUGGGGUUGCUGGCUAUUGAAUGUCACUCCUGAUUUCUCUUUCCAAGGCACUGUACCACCAGCCUACUGAGAUUGUGUGGGAGCUUUCAUGGGGGUUGUAUUUCACUGAUGAAAAUAAAUUUUUUGCAUAAUGUGAAUGUUUAUGUUUCUUUAUAGAAUAGACUUAGUUUAGCAAUAAGCUAAUAAUACUGACGUAACUCUAAUUCUCUGGGGAAAAAAUUUGCUCCCCCACCUUCCAUUCCUGCAACAUCAUCAAAG